rnacentral:rRNA from 1 species
AGAAUCAACGCUGGCGGCGUGCCUAACACAUGCAAGUCGAACGAGAAAGUGGAGCAAUCCAUGAGUAAAGUGGCGACCGGGUGAGUAACACGUGACUAACCUACCUUCGAGUGGGGGAUAACCUCGGGAAACCGGGGCUAAUACCGCAUAACAUCUUUGAAGUGGAAAUUUCGGAGAUCAAAGGAGCAAUUCGCUUGAAGAGGGGGUCGCGGCUGAUUAGCUAGUUGGCGGGUAACGGCCCACCAAGGCUUAGAUCGGUA